rnacentral:rRNA from 1 species
AACGAACGCUGGCGGCAUGCCUAACACAUGCAAGUCGAACGAGACCUUCGGGUCUAGUGGCGCACGGGUGCGUAACGCGUGGGAACCUGCCUUUAGGUUCGGAAUAACUCAGAGAAAUUUGAGCUAAUACCGGAUGAUGUCUUCGGACCAAAGAUUUAUCGCCUUUAGAUGGGCCCGCGUUGGAUUAGCUAGUUGGUGGGGUAAAGGCCUACCAAGGCGACGAUGCAUAGCUGGUCUGAGAGGAUGAUCAGCCACACUGGGACUGAGACACGGCCCAGACUCCUACGGGAGGCAGCAGUGGGGAAUAUUGGACAAUGGGCGAAAGCCUGAUCCAGCAAUGCCGCGUGAGUGAUGAAGGCCUUAGGGUUGUAAAGCUCUUUUACCCGAGAUGAUAAUGACAGUAUCGGGAGAAUAAGCUCCGGCUAACUCCGUG